rnacentral:sRNA from 1 species
AGCAAUUUGGACACUACACACGUCGUAUAUAUGUAUAUUCAGUCAGCGCGAACAAAAUUAUUAAUAUUCUUAGUAUUUACUCUCGUCGAUUUGUAAACAAAAUAACACAACAAUCGACAGAAGCCAAAACAAAAUCUACAGAUAGACUUGCUUUAAACAUCAGCAGAGGAAACAAGAAAAGAAAACAAAAAUCAAAACACAAGAUGUAGAUACUAAAUCAAGUAGACGUGAUGAAGAUGCUCCACAAAAAGCAAUUCAACAUUAAAAAUAAAUAAUAAAUUCAAAAGUCGAAGAAAAUCAUUUUACAUUGACCUUCACAAAAAAAACGCACAUACACCGUAUAACCAAUAUGGACAUACGCCUGUAUGUACAUUUGUAUGUAUGAACGAACACAUUUAUGUAUGUACAGCUGUUGCUUAAUCCAGAACAGUUGGCUGUGCGGUUCUAACAAAAAAAUGUAUUGUAUCUAAAAACUUUUCGUUCUGCAUCGAAUCUGAAUAUGCAGCGACAUAAAAUAAAAACUGUAAAGCGCAAGCAAAAAGAAAACAGUGAGAAAAUCAACAACAAAACAAAUUAAAAAAUAGCUAACUUUGUCAUUCGUUAGCAAUAUGGCGAGAUACCCACCGAAAGAUGAGAGAACACGGAAUGCAAGAACUAUAGUGGAUAAUCCAAUAAACAAAAAGUAUAAAGCCACCAAAUAAACAAUUAAGUAAUAGUAGUGAGAAAUCAUUAUCUGUCUCGCUUUUGCAACCUACAUUAAUGAACACAAUUGAAAAAUAACACACACACACAUACCCCACCAUAAAUACAACAGUUAUUGGGGCUUCAUUUUAUAACCGACGCCAAACUGGCUGUAAGUCAUAAAUCGAUCAUUGAAAAAGAGAAUGAAAAUAUGUGCCUAGAGAUAUAAAUUGAUUUUAAAAUUACAUUAACCUUUAAUCAGACCCCAGAGUAAGGAGCGUCGUUGCAACUAAUUCAUCCCCAACUAUAGUUGAGUUGUAAUCCAUCCCGUGUCGUGAGGCUAGCCACAAUCCAAA